rnacentral:tRNA from 1 species
CAAGACGUAGCUUUAACAAAAGCAUUCAGCUUACACCUGAAAGAUAUCUGUUAACAUCAGAUCGUCUUGA